ensembl:lncRNA
AAUACUCUUUGGUCACCUUUUUCAUUAAAGCACCUUUAUGCUACGGGUCGCUAUUAGGGUAAAUCAACAUCCCCCUAGCGGGGCAAAGGAGUCCGGCGCGGCCCGUGCACCGGGCGUUACCAUAGAGAGGAAGCCACCUCUCUGGGCUGAGUUUGCAGUCUCUAUGGUUCAGCUGAGCUGGUGGCGGUAAGGAACACAGUGAGGCCGCACUGCGCAGGCGCAAUUGGCUUCUCACUUUUUUUUUUUUUUUUUUUUUUUUUUUUUUUUUUAAUCCCCGCACCAAGCACUUAACCUCAUUGGGGUGGAGGAGAAGGCGGCGGCUGUCCGGUCCGCAGCCCCAACAGUAGUGAAUAAUAGAGCUACCCCACCCCGGGGCCCCUUCUUGACCCGGAGUCUCCCCUGGCCGGCUUGGGAGACGCCAAAGCAGUCCGGGGUCUCUUUGAAAGAACCCGAUAUUGCACAGAGCGGGAAGGGGCUCCAGGAGAAGAAACCCCACUCCAACUAGUCAUCGGCGAGUGAUGGGUGUGGAGAAAGAUUCAGAGGGAAGAAGGAUUGUCGGGGAGGCAGGCCGGGCGGCCGGGGCUCCCAGUCUGGGCCAGACAAAAGCGGAGCAGCCGGGGCCCAGCGGGAUGCAGAAGGUCCCCUUGGUCCCCAGGAGGGCCCCCUCUGCGAGGGUCUUUGCGAAGCUAUGGAGAGCCGACAAGUGCUGAGUUAAGCCUGUGCAGCCUCCUCAACUUGCCUUUGUUGUUCUUUGGUAUUGGCAGAGCCGCUCUGACGAAGAUGAGUGUGUGAUCUUGCACGUUAGUCUGGUUGGGUACAAUGGAGCAGAUUGAAUUUGCUUUCCAUUUUAUGAGCGGCUUGGAUGAGUGCGGGGUUUUCCAAAGUCAAACUCAUUACAUAAUAUAUCUAUAGAUUUUAAAAAUAGUUGUGUUUAUUUCUUAAAUUAAAAGAAUAAUUAGGUGGAGCCUUAAAGCAUGUUGUGUCGCAUCCGAGAAGAUUUCUGUUGGGGGAUUCGUUCAUGAAACGCUGACCUAAUGGUGGAACCUGUGAGUUCUUUAAACCUGAUACUUUAAUUUGUGAUGUGGCAAUGAGCGCUUUGGAUGCUCUAGUCCUUUGGGAGGCAGUGAUGCGGGGAGAGUCAGGAGCGAUGCAGUUGAGUUGCAUGCUACCCUGUCCCUUGCACCAGAUUCAGGUGUCACGGGCUAGUAUCAAUUCUGGCCUUAGAAAUUAUUAUUUUUACUGUUAUUCAUGACAUUUAUGAACUCUUAUAUGAGGGACCCAAAACAGAGGGGUACGGUUGCUCAUCCAUGGAGCAAGAAUAGUAACAUUGAUGCAGAGACAUAGAGAUAGGGAAAAUAACACAGCGCCCAGACAACUGAAUAUUAUUUAUCUUUUUUACUUGUUAAGAAAGAUUUAAAUUUUAAUGAGAUAUUUGUUCAUUCAUCCCUGUAAAGUUGGUUAAUUGCACCCUUGUAGCAGUACUCAAAUUUCAGUUUUUGUACGUCAUUGUUUAAUAUGGGUAACAUGUAACUGCUAGUUUUUAUUGUCAACGUCAACUUGACACAACCUCCUUUCACCGGGGAAGAGGGAGCCAUGACCCAGGAAUUUCUCAGAUCAGAUUGGCCUGUGGCCAUGUCUGUAAGAGAUUGCCUUGAUUGGUGGUUGAUGUGGGUGUGUCCAGCCCACUGUGGGCGGCACCGUUCCUAGGCAGGUAGAUCUGGGCUGUAUAAGCAAGCUAGCUGAGGUAGUCUGUUUUCUGUUUUCUCUUGCUUUUUGAUCUGAGGCCACAAAACUCUCCGUCUUCCUUUGAGGACUCUUUGUGCUCUGUGUGCCAAUUUAUGUUAAUGAAAAUUUGUUUGUAGACUUCUGAAUUCUGGCUUGAUGUCAAAAUUAGAGGAACACCUUACCUGGCAAGAUGCUACCCCAGUUUUAUGAGUUGUAGCUAGGGACAGGCUGCUCUGUGAGCAGAUGCAUAACUGACUUUGAGUUUACUUAUUCUUACCUUUUUAUGGAUUUGGGACACAUUUAUUCCAUGGUACACUUUCAUAUGAAUCAGUGAUUUUAAAUAGCAGAGGUUAUGUCCCAAUAUCAUGCUCUGUUUGAAG